GAGAGUUUGAUCCUGGCUCAGAACGAACGUUGGGGGCCUGCCUAACACAUGCAAGUCGAACGAGAUCUUCGGAUCUAGUGGCGCACGGGUGCGUAACGCGUGGGAAUCUGCCUUGGGGUUCGGAAUAACUCCCCGAAAGGGGUGCUAAUACCGGAUGAUGUCGAAAGACCAAAGAUUUAUCGCCCUGAGAUGAGCCCGCGUAGGAUUAGCUAGUUGGUGUGGUAAAGGCGCACCAAGGCGACGAUCCUUAGCUGGUCUGAGAGGAUGAUCAGCCACACUGGGACUGAGACACGGCCCAGACUCCUACGGGAGGCAGCAGUGGGGAAUAUUGGACAAUGGGCGAAAGCCUGAUCCAGCAAUGCCGCGUGAGUGAUGAAGGCCUUAGGGUUGUAAAGCUCUUUUACCCGGGAAGAUAAUGACUGUACCGGGAGAAUAAGCCCCGGCUAACUCCGUGCCAGCAGCCGCGGUAAUACGGAGGGGGCUAGCGUUGUUCGGAAUUACUGGGCGUAAAGCGCACGUAGGCGGCUUUGUAAGUCAGAGGUGAAAGCCUGGAGCUCAACUCCAGAACUGCCUUUGAGACUGCAUCGCUUGAAUCCAGGAGAGGUGAGUGGAUUGGCGAGUGUAGAGGUGAAAUUCGUAGAUAUNCGGAAGAACACCAGUGGCGAAGGCGGCUCACUGGACUGGUAUUGACGCUGAGGUGCGAAAGCGUGGGGGAGCAACAGGAUUAGAUACCCUGGUAGUCC
rnacentral:rRNA from 1 species